GUUCGGGAGAAUAUGGUUCAACUCACCACAGAACAACGAGUUUUUAUUGUUUUAGCGCUGCGUAUUACAUAAAUCUCUGUUACAAACUUUCUUUUGAACAGUUUCUUUAUGCAUAAAAUUUACUGAUGUCAAGCUUUUAAUAUGCACUUGUGGGUUCAGCAGAGUGCUGAGGCAUUCAAAUUCUAACACUACACCUCGUUAUUUCAAUAGUUAUGGGGUUGUUUGGGACACCCUGUAAUUAGGGCAAGGAAAGGAAACCUAUAGAUAUCAUGUAUAUAUUGAACUUCGGAAAUGAAGUGUAGCUUUGUUACAUAUAGUGGUAAAGGCGGUAUUACAUCAUAGUCAAGUAAUGCAAAUUUUAUAUCUUGCUAUGAUUUAAAUAAAUGUUUUUGAUAAGUUCGUG